AUUGAACGCUGGCGGCAGGCCUAACACAUGCAAGUCGAACGAGUGGCGGACGGGUGAGUCAUGUCUGUGAAACUGCCUGAUGGAGGGGGAUACCUACUGGAAACGGUAGCUAAUACCGCCUACCACCGCAUGUGCCCAGAGGGGAUUAGCUAGUAGGUGGGGUAAAGGCUCACCAAGGCGACGAUCCCUAGCUGGUCUGAGAGGAUGACCAGCCACACGGGAACUGAGACACGGUCCAGACUCCUACGGGAGGCAGCAGUGGGGAAUAUUGCACAAUGGGCGCAAGCCUGAUGCAGCCAUGCCGCGUGUAUGAAGAAGGCCUUCGGGUUGUAAAGUACUUUCAGCAGGGAGGCGUUACCCGCAGAAGAAGCACCGGCUAACUCCGUGCCAGCAGCCGCGGUAAUUC
rnacentral:rRNA from 1 species